rnacentral:rRNA from 1 species
GAUGAACGCUGGCGGCGUGCCUAAUACAUGCAAGUCGAGCGAACAGACGAGGCGCUUGCUUCUCUGACGUUAGCGGCGGACGGGUGAGUAACACGUGGAUAACCUACCUAUAAGACUGGGAUAACUUCGGGAAACCGGAGCUCAUACCGGAUAAUAUAUUGAACCGCAUGGUUCAUUAGUGAAAGACGGUUUUGCUGUCCCUUAUAGAUGGAUCCGCGCCGCAUUAGCUAGUUGGUAAGGUAACGGCUUACCAAGGCAACGAUGCGUAGCCGACCUGAGAGGAUGAUCGGCCACACUGGAACUGAGACACGGUCCAGACUCCUACGGGAGGCAGCAGUAGGGAAUCUUCCGCAAUGGGCGAAAGCCUGACGGAGCAACGCCGCGUGAGUGAUGAAGGUCUUCGGAUCGUAAAACUCUGUUAUUAGGGAAGAACAAAUGUGUAAGUAACUAUGCACGUCUUGACGGUACCUAAUCAGAAAGCCACGGCUAACUACGUG